rnacentral:tRNA from 1 species
GGCCCCGUGAUGUAACGGUAGCAUUCCACCCUUGCAUGGUGGCUGAGCGGUUCGAAUCCGACGGGGUCC